AAAGAUGGCCUCUCCUUGGAAGCUGUCACUGGAAGAUGAACCCGCGGCCCAUCAGCUAGUUGGUGAGGUAAUGGCUCACCAAGGCUAUGACGGGUAGCUGGUCUGAGAGGAUGAUCAGCCACACUGGGACUGCGACACGGCCCAGACUCCUACGGGAGGCAGCAGUGGGGAAUAUUGGGCAAUGGGCGAAAGCCUGACCCAGCCACGCCGCGUGAGUGAUGAAGGCCUUCGGGUCGUAAAGCUCUGUGGGGAGGGACGAACAAGCACGGACCUAACACGUCCGGGCUCUGACGGUACCUCCUUAGCAAGCACCGGCUAACCCUGUGCCAGCAGCCGCGGUAAUACAGGGGGUGCAAACGUUGCUCGGAAUCAUUGGGCGUAAAGCGCACGUAGGCGGCUACCUAAGUCGGAUGUGAAAUCCCUCGGCUUAACCGAGGAAGUGCAUCCGAAACUGAGUAGCUUGAGUACGAAAGAGGGUCGCGGAAUUCCCGGUGUAGAGGUGAAAUUCGUAGAUAUCGGGAGGAACACCGGCGGCGAAGGCGGCGACCUGGUUCGAGACUGACGCUGAGGUGCGAAAGCGUGGGGAGCAAACAGGAUUA
rnacentral:rRNA from 1 species